CACUAAGUUACCUUCAGUGAAUGCUGCCACAGCCAUAACCAGUCUGUCCAGCCCCAGGGGAACGUGGCUGACGAGAUAGGUGGAGGUGGGGCCCGUCCGGAACAAACUGCUCGGCCAGGAUCCCUGCAGGGGUGAGAGUGGAACUUGAAGUCAGGAAGGAAGUUGAAACAUGGGUGAAAAUGGCCUCCAGGAAACACAACAUGUGACUGAGGAUUCCAAAUCAUAAGCCGUAUGAAGAAGGACCCACUCUUUCUCAGGGGCGCUCACUCAGCAGACAAGACUUCAAGGACGUAACAUGAAGGCUUAUUUUAUGAGAACGACUACUCCAACCCUGGCCGUCAGGACUUCCACCCCCUCUCACUGGCUACAUGGGCUGCUUCACGUCUGAUGCAUGUACAGUUGAGCUUUCCACCCUUCCUCGAGAACUUCCACAUGUUUUAAAAAACAAGUCAAAUCGUAUUUAAAAGGCUUCUACUGAAAAGCAGCAGUCACGUGUUCCAUCCCUCCUCACCCACUAGUGAAACCACUUUAAUCCCUUUCCACUGUUUCUUCUGGUAUUUGCCGCCUGGAUUCUCGUUAAUUUGUGCAGGCGGCCAUUUGCUCAUUUAUCUUUGUCAGGCAUUAUCUACCAGCUUCCUGGAGCUCUCCCUCCUCCUCAACCCUUCACGUUCACUGUAGUCACAUGAUGUUCAUUUGCUUCAAUCAUUAGUUUCGUUAUUAUGGCUCUGUAGAUCCAAAGUCCUCAGGGCCCAUAAGCCCUAGCGAUCCCAGCUAUCUCUUUGACCUCUCCGACCUACCCCUCCAGCCCUGCCACACGGGGUCCCUUCCCUGGCCUUCCAUUUCUAAGCACAGAUCAUUCCUGCUUCAGGGCUUGGGCUGUCUGUUAUUUCCAGCAGCUUCCCGAACCAGAGCCAACAGGUCUCUUCUUCACUUUACUCAGGUUGCUGUUCAAAUGUUACUCUAGUCCCGGACUACUUUGUGUGAAGUAGCAGGCAUGUCCCCCUUUUCAAUCCAGGUAUAUAUUUUUUUUUAGGAAUUCAUUCAUUGUAUGUUUAUAAUUCACACCUGAUCACUACCUACCAAAUAGUAUCCAGGUAUACUUCUAAAUUUUCUUUAAAGCAUGGAUCGCUAUCUGAUAUUCCAUAUUGAUUUUUUUUUAAGCAUCCAGCUCUACCCACUGGAAUGUAGUCCCUGAAAGUAGGGAUUUGAUCUGUUUUGUUUUUGUUUUUAAAGAUUUUAUUUUUUUA